UUGUGGAGGAGGACGCCGAAGGUGGGGCUAAUGACUGGGGUGAAGUCGUAACAAGGUAGCCGUACCGGAAGGUGCGGCUGGAUCACCUCCUAACAGGGAGACAACAAAAUGUUUAAUAUUAUUUUGUCACCUUAGGUCGAUCGGUAUCUCACAUUUUUAAUUUAUUAAGAAUUUCAUUUCCUAAGUUUUUCUAGGUCACACCCAUCAUUUUUCCUGGGCCUUUAGCUCAGGUGGUUAGAGCGCACCCCUGAUAAGGGUGAGGUCCCUGGUUCAAGUCCAGGAUGGCCCAUAUCUCUAUGUUGGGGGUAUAGCUCAGUUGGUAGAGCGCCUGCUUUGCAAGCAGGAUGUCAGCGGUUCGAGUCCGCUUACCUCCACUGAUUACCACCUCUUCCAUAAUCGGUAGAAAGGAAAUGUUUUGUGUUGUGAUCAAAUUCUGAACGAAUCUAGCUUCCUAAUAAUUUUUAUUAAGAUGCUGGACUCAUUGAAUUAAUUUCAUUGUUUUCAGAGAACCUUGACAACUGCAUAGAUUAUUUUUAAAGACAAUAAGCAUCUUUAAUGAUGCAGAUUUAUUAUUUUUGCGAAUGCAUUAAUAACAAUUCUAUUAAGCUGAUGCUUCAAUUUUUGAAGUUAUUGGUCAAGCUACAA
rnacentral:misc_RNA from 1 species